GAAGAGGUGUGCAAAUGUGUCCAAACUGUGGGGAUACAGUGAACUCUGCAAAGCGGUACACACUACUCCAGAAUAAAACAUUUGCAGCUAUAGUUUAAAUCUAAAAGAAAGAAGAGAGCUCUUCUUCUUCCUCAUAUUUGAUUCAAAAACUAAGAAAUGCAUUGAUAAAACUUGCAGAAAUCCAAAUAAGGCCAUGUAGAACAAACACAUAACAGUGUCACAUGAUUUAUUGUAAAUGCUCUGUUCACAGUGGCCUCUUAAGCUGCCAAAAAUCCUCCCGUGCAGCUCAGCCAGGAGAGGUUUCUGCAGGGAGUGCUUGUUGGAGUCACAAACCCAGAUUUAGAUUUCCCUGCUGCAGGCUGAUUUCUAAGAAAUGCCUCUGUGUCUCCUGUGAGGAGAGCCACCUCCUGGUCAAACAGGGGAACUGCAGGUUUCUCCAGAGCAUUCUUUUAAGUCACGUGAUUUACAAGAAAUCGUAGCAGGGCCAUAAGGCUCUUGACUCAGCAGUUGCCUUUUUUUUUAUUGCAUCACGUAUUGGAGCAGUUUUAUUUCUCUUAUCUGGAGAUUGCAGACUGAAGCACUCGGAUGUGAGCAGGAUAUGAACUUCAUGAGCCCUGUAUGUGUGCUUUGAAACCUCACACUGCCUGUGUGAACAGAGUACACUCACAUGUGGGUGGUGUUCAGUGAGAUACGUCACCCAUUAGUCCUGUCACUUAUUGGAGCAUUGAAGAUAAACCUGUUUGUCCUGAAGCUGUCAGUCACUCAAUAAACUGUGUUCUUUUACACUCA